CUUCUUAACCCAAAAACACUUUGACUUCUUCUUCUUUCUUUCCAUCGCUUCUUCUCUUCUUCACUAGAUUCUGGGUUUCUUUACACCAAUCCACAUCUUCUCUUCUUUGUUCUUCAAACCUUUAUCAUUGAUGCUUGUAUUCUUCUUUGCAGAUUCAAUUGGAGAGAUCAAUCUCAACACUCCCUCUUGAUUUCUUCGAUUGUAUCCCAUAGAUGAAUUUAGGGAUUUGAGUUUUGGUACCUUUAGUUCAUUGCGGCUUAGCCAAUGUUUCAUCGGAGGGGCUCGUUUUAGAGCGUCAGCAUAGCUCAUGGGAGUGUUCAGUUUCACCAUCUCUCUCUUGCUUGAGGUAUCAAUGGUACUUGCAUCUUCAGAAUUUUGGGAGACCGAGCAUUGAAUUCAUUAACCUUUUUGGUGAUCUCUAUGGUGGCUUUUCUCAAUUCACCAUCGGUUCUUCCUUCAACAGAUUUCAGCUUGCUUUGUUGGUUUUCUUGAUUUAUACUUGAUUCUCCCGUCUGGAUGAUGUUUGGUUUUCCAGACACAACUUCCUUCUUUCAGCGUUGGACUUUUCUUCUUGACAUACUACAGCCAUAGUUGCUUCAUUUCUUGUGGGCCAUUGGAUAUGGAAGCUUUUCCCGAUCAUCUUUAUGUCAGCAACAAGUCUUCCAGUUUGAUCACGAAUGACACAGCUCCCUUCAAAGAAGUUAAUCUCGUAUCCACGAUCAAUCAUUUGAGAGACGCUCAGGAGAUUCUUGGUAAUGUUGGGUACUAGGAAAACAUCACGAAUGAUUCUUUUCCCAUUGGUGGUUUCUACCUCAAUAUCUCCCUUGCCUUUUGUCAUCAGCACAUCUCCAUUUCCUAUACGAAUAGGUACAUUGAAGCUGGUGUCAAGGUUAGUAAAGAUUGCUUCAUUUGGAGUCAUGUGAUUUGUGCAUCCGCUAUCAAUAAGCCAACUGUUGAGAUCAUUUGCAUCUCCGUUUUCUUGUCUUGCAGUGAACAA